GGAGGCAGCAGUGAGGAAUAUUGGUCAAUGGACGAGAGUCUGAACCAGCCAAGUAGCGUGAAGGAUGACUGCCCUUGGGUUGUAAACUUCUUUUAUACGGGAAUAAAGUUAGCCACGUGUGGUUUUUUGUAUGUACCGUAUGAAUAAGGAUCGGCUAACUCCGUGCCAGCAGCCGCGGUAAUACGGAGGAUCCGAGCGUUAUCCGGAUUUAUUGGGUUUAAAGGGAGCGUAGGCGGGUUGUUAAGUCAGUUGUGAAAGUUUGCGGCUCAACCGUAAAAUUGCAGUUGAUACUGGCGACCUUGAGUGCAACAGAGGUAGGCGGAAUUCGUGGUGUAGCGGUGAAAUGCUUAGAUAU
rnacentral:rRNA from 1 species